GCCAAGUCGAUCUCGUCGCUUCGCGACUCGGACUCUAGAGACGGACUUGAUCCAAGUCUAGGUAGAGUAGUAUUUGCCAUGAAUAAGUCGCCAGCAAACGUUUCACCAUAGUCCAUAUAAUAAAUGCCAUCAAAAACCGAAACCAUCUCAGGUACGUCAGUCAAAAGCAAAUAGCUUUUCUUAACAGAAUUGCUUAUAAAAGAAUAGAGGUUAUUUCAAGCACAUAAUAUGUCAUUUAAUACAGUUGAAUCCCAUUCAUUUGCAUUUGUGAUAUGAUUAUAUAUUAUCGCAGUCAAGGACAUUGCCAAACAUUGUUUACCAGCAUUUUGUCAAAACUUUUUUGUAUUUCCCUGGCUAAAAUCAGCACAUAUUGUUUUAGUUGAAUCAACCACAUCAUAUAUUGUGGAUCCAGGAUUUUCCUCUACAUCAUUUGCCAUUCUCAACAACAGUGGAACAUACACAAUGUAGCCUGACAUUUGAGUGAAGUUGUGUAGCAGUGGCACAAUGGCUUGCUGAUUUAAUAUUUGUGUGGCAGUGGCACAAUGGCUUGCCGAUUUUGUUCGUAGCAGUGGCACAAUGGCUUGCUGAUUUAUUUGUGUGGCAGUGGCUUGCCAAUUUUGUUUGUAGCAGUGGCACAAUGGCUUGCUGAUUUAUUUGUGUGGCAGUGGCAUAAUGGCUUGCCAAUUUUGUUUGUAGCAGUGGCACAAUGCCGGGCUUGCGGAUUUAUUUGUGUGGCAGUGGAACAAUGGCUUGCCAAUUUUGUUUGUAGCAGUGGCACAAUGGCUUGCUGAUUUAAUUGUGUGGCAGUGGCACAAUGGCUUGCCGAUUUUGUUUGUAGCAGUGGCACAAUGGCUUGCUAAUUAAUUUUGGAUGUAGUGGUGACACACAUGAUAUGCUCAAGUAACAUAUACAAACAAAUAUUAUUAACAUAAUGACCACUAUAAUCAACCAAAAUAACAUAAAAAAUAUAGGAUAAAAGCUAUCUUGCAAAUAAGUCAGAUAAUUUCUCAUUCGCAUACAAUUGUGUGUUCCAAUGUGGGCACGAUACUGCUCGAUUGAUAUUCCCAUUAUAUUAAUGAUAAACUAUGUUCCUGUCAAGCUCAAUCAGAUUUUUUAGACCCAGUCAAACCUCACAAUCGACGACCUAUGAAGAUUUGUAUAUGCACC